AACGAACGCUGGCGGCGUGCCUAACACAUGCAAGUCGUACGAGAAACACGUCUUUCGGGAUGUGGAGUAAGGUGGCGCACGGGUGAGUAACACGUGAGUAACCUGCCCUUUGGCCCGGGAUAACAAGCCGAAAGGUUUGCUAAUACCGGAUGAGACCACGGUGUUUUUGGACACAGGGGUAAAAGUCGGCCUAUCCAUGUAAGCCGGCGCCUGAGGAGGGGCCCGGGGACCAUUAGCUUGUUGGUAGGGUAACGGCCUACCAAGGCUGAGAUGGAUAGCUGGUCUGAGAGGAUGAUCAGCCACACUGGAACUGAGACACGGUCCAGACUCCUACGGGAGGCAGCAGUGAGGAAUAUUGCGCAAUGGGGGCAACCCUGACGCAGCAACGCCGCGUGAGUGAAGAAGGCCUUCGGGUUGUAAAGCUCUGUCAGGCGGGAAGAAAGGCCCUUUAUUUAAUGGAUGAGGGGUUUGACGGUACCGCCGGAGGAAGCACCGGCUAACUCCGUGCCAGCCGCCGCUGUAA
rnacentral:rRNA from 1 species